AUGUACAUUCCUACAAAAUAGCGUUAAUGCAUUGGAUCCCAUUAGAACUCCGCAGUUGAGCGCACUUGGGCUAGAGUAGUACUGGGAUGGGUGACCUCCUGGGAAAUCCUACUAUUUUACAUG
rnacentral:rRNA from 1 species